GAACGAACCUGAAAUAGGAUCCCGCAGUAAUAAACACAUAUUUAGGCAAUUGUAUCCGAGACAGAAGCCAAAAGCCAGCCUUACAAUGCUAAAGUAGCCACCAUAAGCCAGAGUCGAAGCCCGAUACACGGAAGCCAGGUCGCCGGAGAAGAUAACCGGCCGUUUUAAAGAAAUAAGAGUUCUUCUCACUAAAAGAACGCAAAGGACAAAAGGCAGUGAAGAUGAUAGGAAGACCUAUGACCUCUGAUGCCUCGCUUGGAAGGUUGUCUGACCAGAUCCGAGAAAACUUAAGCAUCCACAUCUGAACCGGCUGAGUACAACCACCGCGUACCAGAAACUAGAUAGGAACCGACAUAAACAAACCAAUCCAAACGCGACUCACCAGAAAAUCACAAUCUUCAUGCCUCCUAAAUCAGAACAAAAGACAGUAACCCACCCUCUCACGGCGCCAGCAAAGAUCGUCGGACACCGGAGAGGGAAGAUCUCGAUCUACUUUUUUCUCUGCUUUUCUCUCUCUUACUUUUCUCGAUGACAAUACUUCUUAUAUAUCAACCAAAUCUUAUGUUUCCUUAAUCUUUACUUCAACCAAAAUGUCAUUAGUCUUUCUAAACAAAACUAAAUAAAACUUACGUUUUUCUUUUAAUAUUAAUCAUCUCAGUAAAUGGGACACCGGACAGAGUUCAAGUUAUAAUACACGAUUCUAAACUUAGAGAUUCUCAUACCGCUCAUACCGAGACCACCUUCCUUUGGUAGGCAGACCGUUGUCCACACUGCUUUAACCACUCUGGAUGUGUCAAUAUUACAUGACCAAAAGAAGGGAGGGCACAUUCAUUCAAUUCGAACAAUGCAUCUUUUGGGCAGCACAAAAAUUGAGAUCCAAAAGCAUACAAAACCAGCAAUGACCAAGAAGAGCAACCGUAAACGACCAGAGAAAGAUAGUGUCAUGGGUGUCCACAUAUUAAAUUUGGAUGUGAUGUUGUUUAAUAAAGCUGCAUUUUCUGAUAUCUUCAAUUUUCUGUUCAUGAGAGACAAUCCUAGAUAAUACCAUAUUGGGAGAGUACAAGUAGAGCAUCCGAAGCAAUCAAUGGCUAAGGAUUCACUUUGGUUCAAUCCAACAGUAAAAAUCUCAGUAUUUUCUCGGUUCAUUUCCAACCCAGACCAAGUCGAGAAAUCAUCCAGACAUUCAGAUAUUCCAUGAAGUUAAUCAUCUAGACAUUCAGCACAACAAUGCGCUUCAUAAUCAGAUCUAUAUUCACACAGAUAAGGUCUUGCGGUUUAUUGACCCUAACGUUCGUUGCACCAUUACUGCCAGGGCCGGCUUAUCAGUUAAUGGCCUUGUGCUCAAAAACGUUUCUCUCAAAAUUGUUGUUAUACUUUUAUAAAUCUAAAAUUAGGACCCUAACUAUGUAUGUUUUUUUUGCAAAACAAGACCCUAGUUCCUUACAGAAAAUUACUGAAAAAGGACCUAGUGCAAAAGCACUCCCAUCACAUGUGUAAAGCCGGUACUGAUUGCUGCAGAUAAAAACACUUUAGCUCCUUAAUGGCCCUUCGGUUGAGAUAUCUCUCUCUCUUUCUCUUCCUUUCUUUAUUUCCACUUUGUUUUUAAUUUUUUUUUUUUUGCUAAAGUGGAUUUGCCUUAGAUUACGAGUUGUAAAAUCUAACAUUUCAUAUAUGUGAAUAUUAACCUUUUAGCAAAAGAAAAAAAGGGAACCCAAACAGUUACAAGGGUGGAAAGUAGCGACUCUAUUACAACAUAAAACCCACUAAGACAAUAAAAACAGUAUAAGCAAAGGAGAGGAUGAAUUCCGCGUGGGUAAAAAGAUGGAGGGAGGGUGGAGCUCCCCACUCCGAUGAAACAGAGGAGACUGUAAGGCAAGUUCACCGGGCUUCGCGUUUCUAAGUGUCUGAACCAGCACACAUAUGGGCACACAGAAAACCUAGCGGUCUCCCAUGGAAGUGUGCCACAGCCACUAAACGCUGCACUCUAAAAAAGAGUCGACUCUUAAACCUACCUUUGCCGCUACCAUUUACCUUAGCCGCUGCAGCAUCACGAAGACGCACCCAUCUACAAGAUCAAUCCAGUCAAAAAGCGUUUGCUUAUGGUAAACAGAUCCGAGAAGAACCGCCACCCCCAUAGGUUAACCUAACCCGCUGUCGUUGGAUUCCUUCACAACAAUCAGAGAAGAAACCCUAUAUCUCGAUGAAUGACUUGUAGCUUUUCAGGCAGAGCUCUGUCUUUCUUUUGACUCCGACGACCCAACAAAACCCCGAAUCUGACAUGGAGGACUACCGCACAUUGACCUACCCGAGUUCAGUGAAAGAUGUUGAUAAGCCUCUAUUGACAACCAAACCUUGUUUCUUCCAUUAGUAAGUACAUAUCCGAACGAAAACGGGGGAGGAGACCUCUAAGAAAAUCUCCAUUUGGUACUCUAUAUUUUACUCUAAAGCAGGGUGUAGAGUAAAUAUGCUCCAACUGUAUUCUAUUUUCAGUUUAUAAUACAGUAAAAAUGAGUUUACUCUAUAAAUAGAAUAAUUUUUUUUUUUUCAUCACUCUAUUUUUUUCUCUAAACUAGAGUAUCAUUGGAGUAUAACUUAACUCUAUUAUAGAUUUAAUCUAUUUUAAAAUAAAAAUAGUAAACCAUUGGAGUGGUUUUAACACGGUGCAUCAUAGGACGUCGGAAGCCGGUGAGCCUCCUGUCGACGCGGAAAGUUAAAAACGAGAGAAAGAGAAGAGAGGAACGCGUAGGAUUAAGACGUCACUCAUAUGCUUUUUGUUGUAAAAUAUUUCCUAAAUACAUAAACUUAUUUUUCCCUACCUUUGUACUUCGAAUUGGGAUAAUGAAUGUUCUUUACACAACACCAAGACAAAUUUGGUUUAUUUCUUUUUUUUGUUUAUUUUAAAUUUGGUUUAUUACGAGCAAUUCAUACAUGACAAUCUGAUUAAUAAAGGGUUAAUUUGUGUAGUUAGUAAUAUAGCAUUGAUGUUGAUAUUAUUAGAUCUCCUAGCAUUUUUUUCUUUUUCUUCCGGUUUUAUCCUUUUUCUAAGCUGGUCGACGGUAAAAGUAUCUGUCACUUAAAUGAAAAACAAAAUAAAAAAUUGUUGUUGGAGUGAUUGUGUUUAUGGCUUCGAUGAUGAUGGUGAUUUAUUGUGGUAUUACAUAAAUAGAGUAGAACAUCCUAAACGCUAUAAUUUAUAUUAAUUAAAAUAUAAAAUGGUUUAAAUAUAUAAUACUAUGUAUGUCCAAAAUUAACAAAUAGCAUAAAACAUAACUUUUAUGGCAGACAAUUUAGUAAUAUAGUACAUAAUCACUAAACCCUAAAAACAAAUAUAAACCCUAAAUCCAAAUAUCAAAAUAUGCAAAUAGAAUAGUAACAAACAAAUAGCAUAGUACAUAUUGUUCAAAUUUUGAAAUAUAUAUAAUUGCAGGGAAUGAGGUAAACCCUAAAAGAAAAUAUAAACUCUAACCCAAAUAUCAAAAUAUACACAUAGUACAUAAUAUGAAUCAUUAUCAAAAUAGAAUAGUAACAAACUAAAUAGCAUAUUACGUAUUGUUCCAAUUUUGAAAUGUUGGAGGUAAUGCUUACCCCAACGUCAACCCAAACAUUCCAUAAACUAAACCCAAAACACUAAUCACUAAACCCUAAAAGGAAAUAUAAACCGUAACCCAAAUAUUAAAUAUGGACAUAGUACAUGAUAUGAAGUACAACUGGGAAUUUACAGUAUAAACGAAGCCAGGUCGCCGGAGAAGAUAACCGGCCGUUUUAAAGAAAUAAGAGUUCUUCUCACUAAAAGAACGCAAAGGACAAAAGGCAGUGAAGAUGAUAGGAAGACCUAUGACCUCUGAUGCCUCGCUUGGAAGGUUGUCUGACCAGAUCCGAGAAAACUUAAGCAUCCACAUCUGAACCGGCUGAGUACAACCACCGCGUACCAGAAACUAGAUAGGAACCGACAUAAACAAACCAAUCCAAACGCGACUCACCAGAAAAUCACAAUCUUCAUGCCUCCUAAAUCAGAACAAAAGACAGUAACCCACCCUCUCACGGCGCCAGCAAAGAUCGUCGGACACCGGAGAGGGAAGAUCUCGAUCUACUUUUUUCUCUGCUUUUCUCUCUCUUACUUUUCUCGAUGACAAUACUUCUUAUAUAUCAACCAAAUCUUAUGUUUCCUUAAUCUUUACUUCAACCAAAAUGUCAUUAGUCUUUCUAAACAAAACUAAAUAAAACUUACGUUUUUCUUUUAAUAUUAAUCAUCUCAGUAAAUGGGACACCGGACAGAGUUCAAGUUAUAAUACACGAUUCUAAACUUAGAGAUUCUCAUACCGCUCAUACCGAGACCACCUUCCUUUGGUAGGCAGACC
rnacentral:lncRNA from 1 species